AACGUAGGGGGCAAGCGUUGCCCAGAUUCACUGGGCGUAAAGCGGGUGUAGGCGGUCCGUUAAGUCGGGUGUGAAAUCUCCGAGCUCAACUCGGAAACUGCACCCGAUACUGGCGGACUUGAGGACGGUAGAGGUCGGUGGAAUAUCAGGUGUACCGGUGAAAUGGACAGAUAUCUGAUAGAACACCAGUGGCGAAGGCGGCCGACUGGGCCGGUCCUGACGCUGAGACCCGAAAGCUAGGGGAGCGAACCGG
rnacentral:misc_RNA from 1 species